UACGGGGGGUGCAAGCGUUGUUCGGAAUCACUGGGCGUAAAGGGUGCGUAGGCGGGUCUUUAAGUCAGAGGUGAAAUCCUGGAGCUCAACUCCAGAACUGCCUUUGAUACUGAAGAUCUUGAGUUCGGGAGAGGUGAGUGGAACUGCGAGUGUAGAGGUGAAAUUCGUAGAUAUUCGCAAGAACACCAGUGGCGAAGGCGGCUCACUGGCCCGAUACUGACGCUGAGGCACGAAAGCGUGGGGAGCGAACAGG
rnacentral:rRNA from 1 species